rnacentral:rRNA from 1 species
UACAGGGGGGGCAAGCGUUGUUCGGAAUUACUGGGCGUAAAGGGUUCGUAGGUGGCCACUUAAGUCAGACGUGAAAUCCCUCAGCUUAACUGGGGAACUGCGUCUGAUACUGAGUGGCUUGAGUGCAGGAGAGGGAUGCAGAAUUCCAGGUGUAGCGGUGAAAUGCGUAGAUAUCUGGAGGAAUACCGGUGGCGAAGGCGGCAUCCUGGACCGGCAUUGACGCUGAGGAGCGAAAGCCAGGGGAGCAAACGGG